AGUUUGAUCAUGGCUCAGGAUGAACGCUAGCGGCAGGCCUAAUACAUGCAAGCCGGACGGCAAGUUGAGUAGCAAUACUUGACCUAGAGUGGCGUAAGGGUGCGUAACACGUAUGCAACCUACCCUAUACAGGAGGAUAGCCUAGGGAAACCUGGAUUAACCCUUCAUAGUAUUAUUGGAUGGCAUCAUUUGAUAAUUAAAACUGAGGUGGUAUAGGAUGGGCAUGCGUCUGAUUAGUUAGUUGGCGGGGUAAUGGCCCACCAAGACGAUGAUCAGUAGGGGUUCUGAGAGGAAGAUCCCCCACACUGGCACUGAGAUACGGGCCAGACUCCUACGGGAGGCAGCAGUAGGGAAUAUUGGUCAAUGGAUGCAAGUCUGAACCAGCCAUGCCGCGUGCAGGAAGAAGGCCUUCUGGGUUGUAAACUGCUUUUGCCAGGGGAUAAAAUUUCCAUGCGUGGAAAACUGAAGGUACCUGGUGAAUAAGCCACGGCUAACUACGUG
rnacentral:rRNA from 1 species